AUUGAACGCUGGCGGCAUGCCUUACACAUGCAAGUCGAACGGCAGCACGGGUGCUUGCACCUGGUGGCGAGUGGCGAACGGGGGUGUAAUACAUCGGAACAUGUCCUGUAGUGGGGGAUAGUCCGGCGAAAGCCGGAUUAAUACCGCAUACGAACUACGGAUGAAAGCGGGGGCCCUUCGGGCCUCGCGCUAUAGGGUUGGCCGAUGGCUGAUUAGCUAGUUGGUGGGGUAAUGGCCUACCAAGGCGACGAUCAGUAGCUGGUCUGAGAGGACGACCAGCCACACUGGGACUGAGACACGGCCCAGACUCCUACGGGAGGCAGCAGUAGGGAAUUUUGGACAAUGGGCGAAAGCCUGAUCCAGCAAUGCCGCGUGUGUGAAGAAGGCCUUCGGGUUGUAAAACACUUUUGUCCGGAAAGAAAUCCUUGGCUCUAAUCCAGUCAGGGGAUGACGGUACCGGAAGAGUAAGCACCGGCUAACUACGUG
rnacentral:rRNA from 1 species